UACGUAGGGGGCAAGCGUUGUCCGGAUUCAUUGGGCGUAAAGAGCUCGUAGGCGGUUCGGCAAGUCGGGUGUGAAAACUCCAGGCUCAACCUGGAGACGCCACCCGAUACUGCUGUGACUUGAGUCCGGUAGGGGAGAACGGAAUUCCUGGUGUAGCGGUGAAAUGCGCAGAUAUCAGGAGGAACACCGGUGGCGAAGGCGGUGGUCUGGGCUGGCACUGACGCUGAGGAGCGAAAGCGUGGGGAGCGAACAGG
rnacentral:rRNA from 1 species